CUAUCCAGUUCCCCCUCCAAAUCUCCGAGUAAUGCCACAGGCGGCGAGGACGAGAAGCGCUCAGAGAGAGAAUAGUGCCAUUAGUCGGAACAAUUAGCUAGCGCUUCUAAAAACAAACAGGUGUGUGAUGAUUAGCGGUGUUUUUCAGUGAAUUAUUGAGAAUCCAUCUUUAGUUUUGUAACUCAUCAGUGAAGAGGAGCUGCCUCGCUCCCCAGGGUAAACAGAGCGUGUGUUACCCCGAACCUUUCUAGUCAAUGUCGAGCUAUUUUUGCCGUUAAAGGGAAUAUUCGGUUUACCCUCUCCCGUCGUUUCGAUUUUUUAAAAUCACCCAAGCUUUGGGAAAGCUCAUAGGUUUUAUAUUGGAUUGAAAAAUGAAAUCAAUGUUAGUGAAAUUAUUUUAGCAAUAAUUAACAUCAAAAUAGCAUGUCCAAAUAUUGGCUAUAUCGCUCAGUUAUGGUAGCCUAACCUACUAUCCUAAUCGACAAGAGGGCAAAUGUCUAAACCCUGAUAGCUUCACGUAUUAUCGAUAAUAUGACUUUUUUUUUAAUUUAUGGGACAGUCAACGCCAUAAAAUAACUACAAGGAACAAACACCGCCUCCUUCAGGCUUUAAACUGGGUUCGUGUGUGAAAGGUUAAAAUUGAAGCUGGCAGUCUAAACUCCUUUGGGGGCAGAUAGGCAGACGACCAACGAAUGGAAAUAAAGAGGAGGAUUUUGAUAAUCCCGCAUGCUAAACUGUAACGUGACCGUGUGCGUCCACACACCAGGCGUGUGGGUGAAGGGACAGAAGUGGACAUGGUGAUUACUCCCAAGCUGCAGAGGGAAGCAGCCGGCCCGGGUGGGCAGCAGCAGAGAUGACUAGACCUUAGACAAGAGGAAGAAGUUGGACAUGCAUUCAGGCCAUUGAGCACUGUCCGAGCACACUUUCCCGACAGGCAAGCAUUUGGAACUCUGCACCUUGCUGCCGGCACACAUGGGAGUCUUAUCAGCACCCGACCCACUCUCAGCCUCAAAGAUGGUGGCCAGGGUCCAGUGGCACGCAGCUCUCUGCUAAGCCCGAAUUAUCAUAGUAUCCAGCCACAUAACACCCUAUCUAUUAUUAUUUAUAUUUGGGCAACAGUCUGCGAUGUUAUGCCCAUAUUGUUUUGAUUAAGAGGGCUGGCAGUGAGUGGGAUG